rnacentral:rRNA from 1 species
UAUUGUAAAUGAAGAGGUUUGGAAAGACCCGCCAUAGAAGGUAAUAGCCCUGUAAUUGACACAAGAAAGCUACUAGCAUGAUCCAGAGUACCACGGGACACGUGAAACCCUGUGGGAAGCAGGAGGGACCAUCCUCCAAGCCUAAAUACUACCUAGUGACCGAUAGCGCAUAGUACCGUGAGGGAAAGGUGAAAAGAACCCCGGGAGGGGAGUGAAAUAGAACCUGAAACCCUGCACUUACAAGCUGUGGGAGCACUUUUUAUGUGUGACCGCGUACUUUUUGUAGAACGGGCCAACGAGUUACGAUAUGUAGCAAGGUUAAGCACUUAAGGUGUGGAGCCGUAGCGAAAGCGAGUCUUAAAUGGGCGUUUAGUUGCAUGUCGUAGACCCGAAACCGGGCGACCUAUCCAUGAGCAGGUUGAAGCGAAAGUAAAAUUUCGUGGAGGACCGAACCCACGAGCGUUGAAAAGCUCGGGGAUGACUUGUGGAUAGCGGUGAAAUUCCAAUCGAGCCCGGAGAUAGCUGGUUCUCCCCGAAAUAGCUUUAGGGCUAGCCUCAAGCGUAGAGAAACGGAGGUAGAGCACUGAAUGUCCUAGGGGGUAUUGCACUUACCGAAGACUAUCAAACUCCGAAUGCCGUUUUCUUUUACUUGGGAGUCAGACUGUGGGUGAUAAGAUUCAUAGUCAAGAGGGCAACAGCCCAGAUCGUCAGCUAAGGUCCCUAAAUGUACGUUAAGUGGUAAAGGAUGUGGGAUUGCACAGACAACCAGGAUGUUGGCUUAGAAGCAGCCACUCAUUUAAAGAGUGCGUAAUAGCUCACUGGUCGAGUGAUCCUGCGCCGAAAAUUUCCGGGGCUAAAACGUACUACCGAAGCUACGAUAUCAUUAUGAUAGGUAGGGGAGCUUCGUAUACAGGCUGAAGCAUGACCGUAAGGACAUGUGGACAGUAUACGAGUGAGAAUGUUGGCAUGAGUAGCGAGAGGUGAGUGAGAAUCUCACCGGCCGUAAACCCAAGGUUUCCAGGGGAAGGUUCGUCCGCCCUGGGUUAGUCAGGACCUAAGCCGAGGCCGAAAGGCGUAGGUGAUGGACAACAGGUUGAUAUUCCUGUACCACCAAUAACCGUUUGAGAAAUGGGAUGACACAGAAGGAUAAGCUAACCGCACUGUUGGUUAUGUGCGGACAAGUAUUGAGGCAGUUCUGAUAGGCAAAUCCGUCAGAAUAAUGCUGGGGUACGAUGUGGAGCGAAAUUAAGUAGCGAAGUAGCUGAUUUCACACUGUCAAGAAAAGUCUCUAUCGAGGUUAAAGGUGCCUGUACCUCAAACCGACACAGGUGGGUGAGGAGAGUAUCCUAAGGCCAGCCAGAGAACUGUUGUUAAGGAACUCGGCAAAAUGACCCCGUAACUUAGGGAGAAGGGGUGCCAUCUUCGGAUGGCCGCAGAGAAUAGGCCCAAGCGACUGUUUACCAAAAACACAGGUUUCUGC